AUGGACAUCUCCAAAAUAGUCUUCCAUUAUUUGACCCCUUCUUGCAUUGGUACGACACCAUUCGGUCCUAGCAACCACAUAAAUGGCCAGCUCGAGAUUUUACAGAAGAAGAUGAUAACGAUACGCCUUUCAAUGAGCUUGACUUCAAAUAAUCCAUUUGAAUAUAAAAGACGAGAUGAAACAAAUAAGGAGGAGUUAGUUGGUCUCUAUCUUGGUUUGAAUAUAUCUCUUCUUAUUCAAGGUGUAGCAGUGGGACUGCCAUUGUUCUUUUGCAAAAGAUCCUCUAUAAUUCCUCUGUAA